rnacentral:lncRNA from 7 species
ACUCGGGCUGCUGUGUGCCGGCCCUGCUGAGGAUGUGGUGUUAAUUCCUCUCUGCAGCUCCUCCACGUGUUUGAUUAAAAAGUUACCGACUUCUCCGGACCUACAGAAGCAUCAGAGAAAAGUGCUGCAACGUGGCUCCUUCAGCCUCUGCAUGCAGCAGUAGAUGAAGAGCACGCUGGGUGAGCCCUGUACUCUGGACCCUUCCGGCACCCAGAGAAAGGUAAAUGUUCGUGAAGAUGAGCAGUGUAGAACUGACUGAGCCUCGUGCAGCACUAGGGCUCAGGCAGAGUGCCAAGCACUCCUCCCCAUGUAGUUACAGCAGAGCAAGGUCACACCCUGAUGCCAGCUCCACGCCAUCUGCCUUUUCCUCAAGAGCUCUCCUGGUGCUCAUUCUUGCUCCCAAGGCCAGCAGUGCUGUUGAAGAGCGCAGUGCUGGACAGAGUGACUGAACAUUGCAAGACCAAGGAGCAAAGUUUGUUUUGGAUGGGAUCCUCCUGCCUGUAUUCAAGAUACACAGGAACAUUUCAAAAGUCUCAGGAAGGAACUGUGUGUGUACUUUAGAACUUCAUUCCUCGUGGAAACGGCUGCAGGGCGCCGGUGUGGGCUGUGGAGGUACCCCAGCCCUGGAGAUGGGCACAGACACCAGCAGGCAGUGUGGUAACCAAACAUGUCCUUCUGUUGGCUGUGUCAGAAGCUUUUCCUUCUGAACGUGCACUACCUGCCUGAGCCUGAUGCUGAUGCUGGGGUCACCUUCCUUGGCACCACUGCCUGUUGCUGUAGGCAGCAAAGCGUGUCUGAAAUAGGAUGGGAAAAGCAGCAUGGAAUUGAUCCAGCCCGAGGUGCAGGCUGGGUGAGUGGCAGAAGGCCCAGGGCUCCUUCUGCACAAGUCAGCAUUUAUUGAAAUGCCUCCUGGCCAACGCGCAGCAGUGCGAGCCCCAGGAGUCUGCUUCACAUCUCAUUUGCCUUGCCCGAAUCAAAACAUUAAUUAUCAUCCAAGUAACACUACUUUCCGACUGUGGUGCUUGCUUUACUUCCAGGACUGCAUUCUCCCAUGUUCUGUGUUUUGUCCUUUGUGACUGCCCACAGCAGGGAGAGCCUGCGUUACUGAUGGGCAAAGCUGGGGCAUCUCCUGUAUCAGUGGGGUUUACACUGGCUUGAAUUAAUGGAUGGUAUUUGCAUGGAGCCAUAUCUUCCAAGACUCAGGAGUAUGAACCAAAUUAAGCAUUUGGGGCAGAAGAAGAAAUACAACAUAAUAUUCUUGUUUUAUUCCCAUUAGUUCUGUUCUCUAUAAAUAGUAAUAGUGCAGUGUGUAAUGCAUUCCCUCAUGUCAGAGUUUAUCAGGGAAGUGCUUUGGCUGGGCGAUUGCUGCGGGAAGUAUAAAGGGCUGUGCCUGGUUCCAGCAACACCUUUUGCUUUCACUGUUAAAUAUUACUGUUAAUAAAAACAGAUUUUUAUGUAGUAGUCAAACUGCAAAGAU